rnacentral:lncRNA from 1 species
GUCAUCCAUUCAUAUGAUUAUUCAGAUUGAGUUAUUUUAGGAGAAAAACGAGAAAAAAGGCAUCCGGGUAUUGUCCCGUCAUUGUACGAAAUUUUAAGUCAGAUUAGACUUCCGGUUUGCGUUUUUCUGUAUACUUUGAACAUACAUAUACUACGAAUAAAGUGUAUUUUCAGAAUUUUAUCUGCUAUCAUUUUCAAGUUUACUAUCCACGGCAGUCACAGAGUUUAUUAAAUAGAGAGGGUCUGUAUACUAUAUCAAUGAUCACCAUGGAUCGAUUAGUAAACUUAGAAUUGAAAGUAAAU